GCUCAGCGGUCUGGAACUUGCAGGAACAUGAGGAAUCCAUGAAUAAAUGUCUCCUGGCAGUCACCUGCUUGCUUAAACUCUUGACGGCUUCCCUCAGCAAUUAAAACAGCAUCCACCCCUGCCUUUUUAGGGCCCAGGAGGUCCUACUUGAUCUGGCUCUCACCUGUCUUUCCAAUCUCCCUUCAUUCUUCUCCAGUACGCUCCGGCUGCUGCACUGGCCUUAUCCUGUGCCUUGGACAUACUCAAGUUUAUCUUCACCUUAGAGCCCUUGAACUUGCUGCUCCUGCCCAUGACCAGCUUCUCAUUUUGGACACAGCUCCAGGGUCACCUCCUCAGAACGGCUUUUCCUCCCCAACUCCAGUUCUCUCUGUCACAUCACCAUUGAAUUGCCCUUAUGCUCCCUUUCAUGACUUUCCGCUCACUUCUCAACCCCUGCCUGUCUUCCCUUGCAAGAAGAAGAUCCCUCUGCAUAAUAUGGAAGAUGAACUGAAGGUGAACCAUGAUGGCAGCAGUAAAGAGUUUUUAGAUGAGCACACUGAUACUCAAGGAUGGCAUUCCCUAAUUUCUUGUCACCAUUCAACUAUGUUCUGGCCAAUGAGAUCCAACAAAGUGUUGUGUGGGAUUUCUAGAAAAAUCUAUAAGAAGGAGAAGUUUCGGCAGUGAAGCUCAGCCAGUCCCAGCACCCGGAAGGAACCUCCUCACCUCCAUCCCAGGCUCCUAGGGCAGUGCAGGUCAGCCGGUCCCAGCACCCAGAAGGAAGCUCCCUGCCUCCAUCCCAGGCUCCUAGGGCAGUGAAGCUCAGCCAGUCCCAGCACCAAGAAGGAAGCUCCCCUGCUGCCAUCCCAAGCUCCUAGGGCACAGAAGUUGAGCCGCAUGGGUGCCAGAGGCACCACCCCCCCACACAUGGAAAUGAGAAGACACAUAAACAAGCCUCAAAAACAGACUUCCAGAUCACCUACAGCAACCCCAAAGGGAAAUGAGAUGGAACACUCUGAUACUCAACCACCUGGACUCUCUGAACUGGCAACAAAAGAGGAUCUGGGAAAAAUGAAAUCAGAAAUAAUUACUCAGAUAACAGCAAAGAUUUUGCUCAUGGUACAAGACAUGAUUAAUAAAUCUAGGGAGGACACAGAUAAAAAAAUAGAGGAUCUGAGGAAUAUGAUGGAAUCCCAACAUAGGAAACAAAUGGAAUCCAUAAAACAGAUACAAAUAGAUUUCCAGGAGAUUAAAAACUCCAUCGAAAGUCUGUGCAGCAGAAUGAACCAAGGUGAGGAUAGAAUUUCACAUAUAGAAGAUAAGAUUGCAAUUAAUGACCAGGAAAAGAAAAAUUAUUUCAAAAUAAUAAGCGAACACGAGAAAUCAAUCCAGCAGCUGCUAGAUGAUGCAAAGAAGAAUAACAUAAGACUGAUUGGAGUCAAUGAAGAAAGAGGAGAGAGUGCAGAUGACAUAAAAAAACUGUUCACAGAAGUGGUGGCAGAAAACUUCCCAAGAAGGGGAAAAGAACUUGACAUACAGAUAAGUGAGGCAUAUAGGACUUCAAAUAGCCUUGAUCAAAAAAAAAUCUACAUAUAGGCAUAUAAUAGUUAGGAUUCCAGAAAUCCAACAGAAGAAUAAAAUUCUACAAGCAGUGAGAGAAAAGAACCAAAGCACAUACAAAGGAAAGCCCAUCAGAAUCACAGCAGACUUCUCAACGCAAACCCUCAAGGCAAGAAGAGCUUGGAGUGAUGUAUCUCAAGCCCUAAAGGAAAACAGCCUCCAACCCAGAUUGAUGUACCCUGCAAAACUAUCUUUCAAAAUUGAUGGAGAAAUAAGAUACUUUCAUGAUAAAGAGCACCUCAGGAACUUCAUGAAUACCAAACUGGCACUCCAAAAAAUUUUAGACAAUACCCUAGAAAAAGACAAUGAGGAUCACAACCCGAGGAAACCCAGCAGAAUGAAUCCAUUGGGGGUGACAAAUUAAACGCAAAGGGGGAGAAUCCAACAAAAAGAAAAAGUCAUGACAAGGCUUUUAAAACUUUUGACUUUCCCUAAUGAGUAUAUAAUUCAAUCUUAUUAUUGUACUGAUUAGUAUUUUUCUGAUUCUAGAGUUGCACACCAUUCCUUGUGCUAUGCUGGCUAUUUAUCAUCUUAUGUCUACAUUUUAAUUGGGUUGUCUAUUAAUGAGCUCUAAGAAUUCUUUAUAUAUUCUGCUCAUAGGUUAUAUGCAUUGUAAAUAUGGUCUGUUUAAGGACUUUGAAUUUUAAUGAUGUCAUUUAAAGUUCUAAAUUUAUGGAAUCUCAUCAAUUAUUUUUCUUUUAUACAUCAUGGUUUUUGUAUCCUAGGUAGUUCUUGCCUACCCUGAAUUCAUAAAUAUUUUCCCUUAUAAUUUCUUCUUAAAGUUUUACACUUUUAGGCUUUCUUAUUUAGGUUCAUAGAUCCCUUCAAGUUAUUUUCAUGUAUGGAAAAAAAGGGUUGAGGUUAAUUUUUUAUAUAUGGGUUCCAGGUGUUCUAGUGCCAUUUGCUGAAGACACUAUCUCUUCCUCGGCUCUUGAAUUGAGUUUAUAUUCUAUAAAAUGCUAACAUUAAAUAAUCUUUCAAAACUCAGUGGACCAUAUAUGUGUGGUUCUAUUUCUAGAUUCUCUGUUUUAUUCAAAUGAUCUAUAUGUCUUUCCUUACACCAACACUGCCUUGAUUACUGUAGCUUUAGAAGAAGUCUUAAAAUUGGGUGCUAAACGUCUCCCAACACUGUUUUUGUUUUUGUUUUUGUUUUUGUCUUUGGCUUUUCUGGGUCCUUUGUACUCUUACAUAACUUUAAAAUUUCAAUAUCCAGUUCUUCAUUUAUAGCAAGUAUACACAGACCUCAAUUUUUAUAUAUACCUUGUGUUUUCUAAUCCUGCUAAAUUCAAGUACAAGUUCUAGGGGGCCCUAGAGAUUUCUUAAUAUUUUCUCUGUAGAUGAUCAUUUCAUCUACAUAUAAAGAUUUUGCUUCUGCCGUGCCAAUCCUAUCCUAGUUGUGUCAUUUUAUUGCCAGACUAUUUUGGUUUAGACCUAUGUUUCAAAGUCUAAUGGACAGAUUGUAAGACCGAGGGCCUUACCAAACACUCUGAGGAGCUGACUACAAUGAAGAACACCCGGGAGGGAACACACAAGACAAGUUGGAAAGUAAAACAGACCUUUAUUAAUCUGGCCAGACGGCACCCUCCAAGCAAACAAGCUUAGAGAGGCAACUGGCUCAGAGUCCGAGGCUCUUUUAUAGGGGUUGCAAGGGGAAGUUAGCAAGCAGAGAUGACAAAGGCGAGAUGCUGAUGGUUAGGGGAUUUAGAUAGCAUGUUCCAGUACAUUUAGAUAGUAGAUAGCAUGUUCCAGUACAUUUCCUGUUUAUGGGGAGUUGGGUAAUUUCAAAGAACACUGUGCAUUCCGUAAACCUUUGUUUUUCUUCCCAGAAAUGACAUCACAUGUUUUACUCAGAAGGGGAGGGGGAGUAUUGAGUGAGGCAACAUGGAGUAACCUUUGUUCAAUCUCAUAUAGUCCCACAAGAUGAAGAGUGGGCAUAUAUGCCCUUGUUCCCCACUUUAGGGAGAGAACAUUGUAUCAUCUCUAUUCAUAGAAGGAGUUUUUGUUGGAAGUAUGGAGUACAUGUCUUUGAUCUGUUGAGAAGGUUCUGUUCUACUUCUAGUCUCCUGAUAGCUUUUACUAUGAACAGCUGUAGAAUUUAGUCCAAUACUCUUUCUCGAACUAGUGACAGGAUCAUAUGGCUUUUUCCUUUCCUCUGUUAAAAUGAUGACUUUUGGGGGUGGAUCUUCCAAUGCUGAACCAACACUGCCAUCCCUAUAACAAAACCACUUUCUACAUACUGCCAGAUCUGACUUUUAAGAGUUUGUUUUGUUGAACAAAUUUCUAUGUUCAUACUUUUUUCUUCUAUUAUCUUUAUCCAGUUUUAGAAUUAGCACAGUGUUGAUUUCCUAAAAUGAGGGGAGAAGUGUUCCUUCUUUUUUCUGCUUUAAUUGUUUGAUAUAAUUUAUCAGUUAAAAUAUUUAUGAGCCUACUGUUGUCAUAUAGGUAGGUUUUCAAGCUAGAAAUAUACUUUCUUUAGUAGGUGCUAUUCAAAUUUUAUAUUUCCUCCAGAGUUUCCUUAAUUUGUCUUCUAAGUUACUUCUUAGAAGUUGUCAAAUUUAUUUCAAAACAGAUUUUUGUAAUAUGCUUUCUAUAUCCUUUUAAAUUCUGUAAAAUCUGUGGUAACGUCCCUAGAUCUUAAUAUUGUAAUUUAAAAAAUGUAUAACUGAUAUUGUGCAACAGGAAGAAAAGGUCUAAAAGAGCAGGG
ensembl:lncRNA